rnacentral:lncRNA from 1 species
CAUAGCUAGUGCUCCUGCCUUUCUUACUGUUAUAUUACACUUUUGCUUGUGUCUCUCCCACUCAGCUGCUGGAGUUCCAGGAAUUCACAGGAGCCACACCCUUGGCAUAGACGCAGGCAGCUUCUCCUGCGCAGCGUCAGCUGGCAUGCAGCCCUUCCCUUCCUCCCCGGCUGUGUCUUCCCUCAGUACAAACCCUUUUUCCUUUUUGGGUGUUCAGAUCUCGGAGAGCAGAGGGCUGAGUGGGAGGGAGGCAGCAGUGGGCUGUCUGCAGGGAGGCAGGAAGGGAGUGUGGGGGAGCCAAGAUGUGGGUGGAAGCCCUGCUGCUACAGGGAACCUUUUGAGGGAGAAAGAAAACUUAGCUAUUUUAGAGUCUUGUUGGGAGGGGUAGCUGGGAUACACUUUGGGGGCUGAAUCCUGGAACGUUGGUGUGAGCAGAAACGGGGAAGGGUGGGUUAGUUUUAACUAUUAAGUUAGGUUAUUCCCCUGCCUCAGUGUUCUGAGUACUGGUGUUACAGACAUGAGCCACCAUGCCUGGCUUCAGGCAGUGACUAUGACAUGUCCUUUCUGUGGUAGGAGCCUGGCUGGGCACAUGGCUGAGCAUGUGUCUGGGCAGCCAUCUGCUUCUUUUCAGGGGCGACAUGGCUUCCUCAGCCCGCAGCUCUCAUCUGCAGGUGCAAGAAGGAAGGGACACAUUCUCUUAGUUCCUCCAGGGACAGUGGUUCACAGAGGAGGCCAGCAGUAUUCGUGACACGCCAGGCUUAGUCACCACCUGCCUACAGGGAUUCUCUGCCCAUCAAGAUGAACCUCAAAUAAAAACAUGACUUGGUGUGCCAAGCUGUGUCUCUGGGAGACCCCAGCCACCACUGAUGGGGCUGAGUCACUGCGUUAACCGCUUCCAGGCGCCCACAGAGAGUAUGUUGAGGACCAGUCCUGUCCUUCCCACGUGUGUGCGUGUGGAGCGACAGGCCCUGGGCUGGUGCAGCAGGCAGGAGACUCAGUCAGCAUGGUUUUCUUACCACUCUGUUCAGCAGGCCCUGACCAGCCGAAUCAUUAGUUCUGCCUCUUAGACAGUCUUUACAGAUCGGAACAUGCUUUCAGGG